UACGAAGGGGGCUAGCGUUGCUCGGAAUCACUGGGCGUAAAGCGCACGUAGGCGGCUUUUUAAGUCAGGGGUGAAAUCCUGGAGCUCAACUCCAGAACUGCCUUUGAUACUGAGAAGCUUGAAUCCGGGAGAGGUGAGUGGAACUGCGAGUGUAGAGGUGAAAUUCGUAGAUAUUCGCAAGAACACCAGUGGCGAAGGCGGCUCACUGGCCCGGUACUGACGCUGAGGUGCGAAAGCGUGGGGAGCAAACAGG
rnacentral:rRNA from 1 species